AUCACUUUUAGAUGUUAAUCUACUGCUAUAAAACAGAGUAAUGUAUGUAAGUAAAUUACAUAAGUCAUUUCUUGGAUAAAUUACCGGCAUACAGAUAAACAUGCUUUUUCAGAAAACAAAAUAGGCCAUAGUUUUAAAGAGUAACUUUGGAAUGGAAUAUAGAACAUGUGCAUUCCAUUGGUUUCCAUGGUGAUUUCAUUACUUAGAAAUAUAUCUGUAUUGCAUUUGUGGAAAAUAAUUAUGUUAAUAAAACAUGAACUGCAAAAGACCUCCAGGGUCAUGUUCACCAAGAGUAAUUCUAAAGUUUCUUCUUUUUAAGGUACUGCGAAAGAACUGAAGUUUUACCACCAAAAUCUAUGUGGAGAUCAGAAAAAAAUAAA